AGUCGAACGAACUUAACCAUUAGUUUACUAUUGGAGCGGUUAGUGGCGGACUGGUGAGUAACACGUAAGCAACCUGCCUAUCAGAGGGGAACAACAGUUAGAAAUGACUGCUAAUACCGCAUAUGCCUUAGAAUCACAUGGUUCAAAAGGGAAAGGAGCAAUCCGCUGAUAGAUGGGCUUGCGUCUGAUUAGCUAGUUGGUGGGGUAACGGCCUACCAAGGCGACGAUCAGUAGCCGAACUGAGAGGUUGAACGGCCACAUUGGGACUGAGAUACGGCCCAGACUCCUACGGGAGGCAGCAGUCGGGAAUAUUGCGCAAUGGAGGAAACUCUGACGCAGUGACGCCGCGUGCAGGAAGAAGGUUUUCGGAUUGUAAACUGCUUUAGACAGGGAAGAACAAAGACAGUACCUGUAGAAUAAGCUCCGGCUAACUACGUGCCAGCAGCCGCGGUAAUACGUAGGGAGCGAGCGUUAUCCGGAUUUAUUGGGUGUAAAGGGUGCGUAGACGGGAAGUCAAGUUAGUUGUGAAAUCCCUCGGCUUAACUGAGGAACUGCAACUAAAACUGAUUUUCUUGAGUACUGGAGAGGAAAGUGGAAUUCCUAG
rnacentral:rRNA from 1 species